rnacentral:lncRNA from 1 species
GGAAUGUGGUCCAAAUAACAGCUUGCUGUCAUAAAAAAUGGAAGGUCCCCCUUGUCAUCUUUCUACAUUUUUUUCAUUUCUAUUAAGUGUUGGAUCAAUCCAGUGUCAGUUAGAGGCCAAGAAAGUGUUUGUGUUUCCGCAAUUCUAAUCAUUUCCACCUAUUACACACAGUCGGUGUGAAAGUCAAAUAACAUACUAAAGGUAAAAGUUCCCCUUUCUUUAAAUUUGUAAAUACUGUCUUUCCAAAGAGAAUAUAAAUUCCUUUACAUAUAAUUUAGCUUUGUUUCUUGUAUCACACAUAGCACUAUUUCUUGCGAAUAAUAAGGAAUCUAAAAAUAUACUUCAUAUGUGGUUGUUGUGA